rnacentral:lncRNA from 1 species
GUGGCGAAGAAGAUGUGUGGGGGAACGGAGAACCCUCAGGGAUCUUCUGGGGAGGUACCCGAGGAGGAAAAUGCAGACCUAACCACUGUGCCUGGCAGUAUCCCUCCUCGCCUUGGCUGUUUUUGCAGGACAUCUGUGGCACCCUCAACAUCACUGCUUUGGGCAGCUGUUCUCCUCUUGCUUACAACCUCAGUAGUCUCUGAGUGCUUUAUCACAUGUUAUGACUGGGAGCGCACAUUUAUAACUUUAAGUUAUCAGACGGCUCCUGUAUUCCUCCUUAGCAAUUUUUAGGUCCGUGGCAGUCCAGCUAGCCUUGAGAGCUGGCUGUGGACUGAAUCUCCUAUAUGCGUCCGAGUGGUUAGUAAGCAAAUACAGUGAAGUUAGGAAUGACUCCUUUUGGAGUGAGGAUGCACAGCCUUGGACCAUUCAAUACCAACAAGUUCUUUACUAUGAGAAUGGUGAGGUGCUGGAACAGGCUGCCCCGAGGGGUUGAGGAUGCCCCGCCCCUGGGGGUGUUCAAGGCCAGGUUGGAUGGGACCCUUGGCAGCCUGGUCUAGUAUGAAAUGUGGAGGUUGGUGGCCCUGCCUGUGGCGGGGAGGAUUGGAGCUUCAUGAUCCCGAUGGUCCCUUCCAACCCAAGCCAUUCUAUGAGUCUGCAAUACCCGAUCCAAGGUCACUAUUGCCUAAGUCACUAGAUCACAGGAGGAGAUUGGGUUGUUCAGCAGGACCUGCCUUUCAGGAACCCUGGCCUUGCACAUGCCGAGUGGUCUCACUCAACACACUCUAUUUCUUUUCUGCAAAGUUCUUAAUUGCAUGCUGUUUUGCUACUUGGGCAUAAUUCAGGGGAGUACUUUACAUAAAUCAAAUAUAUCUUGAAAUAUACUUUGACCGUUCCGUUUUUUCCUCCUAGAUAUACAUAGGCAUAUCUGUGGUCAGUAGCGAGGUCGAGUAGAAGGAAUAUACAGUCUUUUGAGAUCAGUGUGUUCAGCUUUCCUUUCCAUUACCCAUCACCUAAGUCCUGUGCAUUCAUGUUGUCUGAGUUGUCUGAGGUCUUUUGGAAAAUUCCUAGUGCAGUUCAGAGGUGGGCUCUUUGUUGUUGGUGUUUUUUUUUUUUCCCAAUUUGUUUUUUGUUAUUAUUUUUAUAAUUACCUGAUAGUACCUCAUGUGGCUUUCACAGAAUUAACAGCCUAAAAAAAGGAUGUAGGAGGAAAGCAACAACCAAGAAAAAUCCCAACAGCAUCAACUUGAGGCAAGGAAGCAAUGGCUUGAAAUGAUGGCAGUGUCACCCAGCAGCCCGCACAGUGACCUGAUUGGUUGGCCUCAUUGUCUGGGGCAGCUCAUGAUAGAAGUGGACAGUAUCACAGUGUGAGUGAAGGUCAGCGUAGGAGCAGCUGCUGAUGGGAGGAAGGAAGUCCAGGCUCAUGGACUCUGGAGCAUCUCCCAGUACAGUACCAGAGGAGGCAGGAAUGAUGUUGCAGAAGAACAUGAGAAGCUCCCCAGCAGGAAGCCACAAACUCUGCAGAAAGCUACAGGAGAGGUGGAACAUGUGUGGAUGCCCAGGAGGAAGUCCAGCCCCAGUAUUUGAGCAGUGCCUGGCCAUGGAGAACUGCGGCCCAAGAACAGAGCUAUUCUGCCUUUGCCAAGAAGGACUUGUCUGUCCUUGUAAAAAGCAGAAAGCUGGCUCAUCCAAAUGCUUGCUGAUUGCUUGGGAGCUCAAAU